GCGCGGGUGGCGGAAUGGCAGACGCGCUAGCUUGAGGUGCUAGUCCUCUUAUUGAGGGUGGGGGUUCAAGUCCCCCUCCGCGCACAA
rnacentral:tRNA from 5 species